rnacentral:lncRNA from 10 species
CUCCAUACGUCUUGUUUCCUCUGCACAUCUCCCAAGUGGGAACUGCCAACUCUAAGGUCUCCCAGUUUUCUCAGCGAUGUGCUGGCUGCCAUCUCUCAGGAAAAUUGGCUAAGAAUGGUUUUGCUGUGAAGACACACCUGCUAAUCCCUGAGGAGUGAGACCGACAUAUUGUGAGGAAGCCCAAGCCAGCCUUGUAGAGAGACUUGUAAAAAGAGAGAGGGAGAAAUAAGAGUGAGAGGGAGAAAUGAGAGUGAGAGAGAGAAAGAGAGAAAGGAAGAGAAAGAGAGAGAGAGAGAGAGAGAGAAAAAGAGAGAGAGAGAGAGGCACAACAGCCCCAGCUGGUUCAGCAUUGCACAGGACAAAUGAUGGAAGAAGUUAUCUUUGACAUUCCAGCUCCAGCAGAUGUGACAUAGACUGGAAGUGAUGGACCCAGACAACAAUCAGAACCAAAGCACCAGAUGAGCCACCUCAGCCACGUGAGCCAUGCCAGCCACCCUACCUGUGACCCCAUCUGUGGCCCCAGUUAUCAUGGAGUAGAGGGGACUGUUCUCCAGAAUUGGCAGGAGGUGAACAUGAAGUGUGGCCUGAAAUUUAGUGGGGGCUUGAAUGAAGAAUGGGAUUGUCACAGGUAAGAAGGAGCUCCUCUCCAGUCUGCUGAGCGUCUGUUCCCGGAGACUGCACAGGUGGGCCCCCGCCCUCUCAAAGGCCUCACUUCAACCUGUGGAUGAGGACAGCCCACUCCUUGUUUUGUGGAAUUGGACCUUAGGUUUCUGCCAGGUUUCAGAUUUAGGCGGGGCUCUCUGUUAAACACAAAGAAGUUAUGGCACCCGGAUAACUAGGAGCAGAGUGGGCCCAGAAGGACACCAGGGCUCAAAAUUAGGGAGGCACACCUCCUAAAAUUACAGAGGUGCUCAUUCAUUAAGGAGGUGUUCUCCCUAAGACUAAGAAGAUAUUUGCCAUUAAAUUAAGGAGGUGUUCUACAAUGAAGGAGGUGCUCCUCUUAAAAUUAAGGGGGCCCUCAUUGUAAUUUAAUGUGGCCUUCAGUCUAAGCCCAAGGUGGUACUCCCUCCCUCAGGCGCAGUGUAGGCCCUUCGUGGGCCCUGAGAGUGGUAGCUCUGGCCCUGGCAUCUAGAGAUUUGGGAGGCCCAGAGUCUGAGGGCUUCUAGCUCCUCUUGGAAUUUAGCCUGCGCUCUGGCCUUCCAUACUUCUCACAGGGCAGUGGGGCUGGUGUCUUGGAAGCUCUGCCUUCACAGGGUGCUAGUCCAGUGUGGAAGUGGUUGGCCUGAAUCAGCAACUCACUGGAACAGAUACCCCCAGGGCAUUACCCUGAGCUGGGACCAGGGACUGAAGAGCUGAUUUUUGGAUUAGCUGAUCAAUGAUCAGGAGCCAAUCAAUGGAGACAAACAAUGGGACAAAGGCCCUGCUACCCGCAGAAUCAGAGCCUCAUGACACCAAAUUCUCUACAAGAAAUAAUCGCCCUGAGAUGUGCUUCAGUCCGGCUGUGCUGUCUUUCCUGCCCAGGUGGAGGGGCAAGGGAACACUGAACAGCACUGCUUGACACGGCCAUUAGUGGCCUUUGACUCCUUCCAUCCCUCCCUAUUAUCCCACCUCAGGCUCCCCAGCUACUCUCACCCCAGCCCAACAGAGGUACCUUAUGCCCACUCCAGCACAGCUCACCCCACGCCUCUGUCUCACUCCCUGCAUGAUCCCAGGAGGUGCCUUGCAUCGCACCUUGAUGGAGCCAUUCAUGGACAAGCCUGGCCUCUCUCAUCUUGUUAGCUCCUUCCCUCCAGUCUCUGUCCCUCCUGUGUGGGCCAGAUCCAACCUUGGUACAAGAACUUUCUUCUCUCAGGGUCCAGGGCUUGCUUCUGUGUUGCUUUCCUGAGCUGUUUGUUGUAGUUCAGGCUUAGCAGAGAUCAGAGAUCCUGGGCCAAGAGCCUGUGGUACAGCCCUGGGCAGGGCAGCCACUGUGUGAGUAUCCUUCUCAUCCUGGAGCUCUGGUCUCAGCAUGGGUUGACGAAAGCUAGGAGGGGGCUGCACCAGAGCAGAAAGAAUAUGGGGCCUGCAUCAGAAAAGCUGAGUCCUGCAUCCUCAGGAAAGUGAUUAACUCUUUGGUCUGCAUCUUAUUCUGGAAAAUGGGGAAAAUAAAAACAUGCAAAAUGGUGCCGACCACUGCUCAGUCUAAGUAAAUGAGAGUGCUGCACAAAUGCAGACGAUGGCUAGGAAAGCUAUUAUAAGAGGCAGGCGGUUCCCAUCAGUAUUCUCCAGUGGAAGGAGAGGGUUUAUUCUCAUCCUUUGCUCCCAUUAACACACUUGUGGGUUUUUUUGUGGCCAAAAAGCUGUUCCCUGUGCACCAGUGUUGCUUGUUGUUCACUAAUUUACUUUGAGGUCCCUUCUCAAAGCCCAGUUGGGAUAUAAGUGACCCAAACUCCCAUCUAUCUCCACAUCUCUUGUAUUAGCCCUCCAUAACCCUGCUAGGGUCCCCACGGGGCUCAGGCCAGCAUGUUCCUGAGGCUGGGGCCAUCUGCGGGGCUGCCUACUGAGGGGAUAUUCCCCUGGCCUCAGGCUGCUGCUGCUUUUGCCAUAGGGCUGACCUCAUGAUCCACUGUUGCUUAUCCGUUCUGACUCCAUGGGUUGAAUUGUGACAUAUGUCUUGCAUUUAUUGUGAUGCCCUUGGUGGUAACAUGGGACGCUUCACAGUCAUCAGAGGCCACACUAACCUUGGCACUGGAUGCCCUGGGCAUUGGAUGAGAAUUUUGUACUCACUGUUGCUGAGGGCAGCCUCCGAACCCACCGCGUAUAUUUAUUGCUUCUUUUCAUUCUCAUCUCCUGCUGGACUCAGGGUGUCCAAAGACACCUCAGGGAAAGACGCUCCAGGCUGAUGACAAUGGGCGUGGAUGGUCCAGGAGAGGUGGUCACCGCCAGGGUAGAGGUGAAAAGCUAGAUUUGUACCAUUUCCAAGACUAUGGAGUUGCUGGAAACAGUUGCUGUGAAUUCACUGGGACAGUAAGGUAGUAGCCACAGGCUUCUUAGCUCAGAAGUUGUGGCAAACAGUAAGCAUGGUGGGGAGGUUUACCUACGUGUGGAGAUCAGUUCAGCUGAUAUACAUGAGCCAGGGUUCAGAGACAGUGUGGGAAAAGGGAAGGAUUUCAUGGCAGAUAUUUCUGGACAUUCAGUUGGAAGAGACUUCAGAUUGAGCUCCUAUUGAAACUGUAUAGCAAUUUGGGGGAGAACUGAUGUCUUAACGAUAUUGAGCCUUCUGACCCAUCAACAAGAUGCAUCUCCAUUCAUUUAGAUUUUCUUUGUUAUCUCUCAGCAAUGUUUUCUAGUUUCUAGUGUAGUUUGUUUUACAUCUUUUGUCAGAUUUAUCCCUAAAUAUUUCGGAUUUUCAAUGCUAUUAUAAUUUGUAUUUUUAAAGAUUUCAUUUUCUAAUUGUUUGUUGCUAAUGUAUGGAAAUACAGUUGAUUAUUAUAUAUUAAGCUUGUCUUCUGCAAUGUUGCCAUUCCCUCCAUUAGCUCAAGUAGCUUUUGGGGUAGAUUCUAUUAGAUUUUCUACAGAUGAUAACGUCAUCUG